rnacentral:rRNA from 1 species
UACGGAGGGUGCGAGCGUUGUCCGGAAUCAUUGGGCGUAAAGGGCGCGUAGGUGGCCCCUCAAGCGUGCGGUGAAAGUCAGGGGCUCAACCCCUGAUCGGCCGUGCGAACUGGGGAGCUUGAGCACUGUAGAGGCAGGCGGAAUUCCGGGUGUAGCGGUGGAAUGCGUAGAGAUCCGGAAGAACACCGGUGGCGAAGGCGGCCUGCUGGGCAGUUUUGCUGACACUGAGGCGCGACGAGCGUGGGGAGCAACAGG